CGAAGGGCGCUAGCGUUGUUCGGAAUCAUUGGGCGUAAAGCGUACGUAGGCGGCAUGAUAAGUCAGCUGUGAAAGCCCAGGGCUCAACCUUGGAAUUGCAGUUGAAACUAUCAAGCUAGAGUAUGGCGGGGGAUAGUGGAAUUCUUAGUGUAGGGGUGAAAUCCGUAGAUAUUAAGAGGAACACCAGUGGCGAAAGCGACUAUCUACACCAUUACUGACGCUCAGGUACGAAAGCGUGGGGAGCAAACAGGAUUAGAUACCCUGGUAGUCCACGCAGUAAACGAUGAGUGCUAGUUAUCGGGAUCUUUGAUUUCGGUGGCGAAGCUAACGCGUUAAGCACUCCGCCUGGGGAGUACGGCCGCAAGGCUA
rnacentral:rRNA from 1 species